UUGGGAUCAUUUUGCAUCCAUA
rnacentral:miRNA from 4 species